AAUUUAAUUUUGUUGUCAGAGUAGUAAUAGUUAAGAUCUUGAAACUCAAAAAAUUUGGCGGUGCCUUAGUCUAUUUAGAGGAACCUGUUAAGUAAUCGAUAUUCCACGGUGGACCUUACUAAGUUUUGUAAUUUUCAAUUUGUAUACCGCCGUUUUUGAGAAUUUUAUAAGAUAAAUAAUUUUCAGAGCUUUUUAUAGAAAAGUAAGUCAGGUCAAGGUGCAGUUUAUAAUUUAGUUUUAAAUGGGUUACAAUAAUAUUAUUUAAACGGAAAUUUAAAUGAAAUUUUAAUUUGAAGGUGGAUUUAAAAGUAAAUUUUU
rnacentral:rRNA from 1 species